rnacentral:tRNA from 1 species
GCCGGGGUGGUGGAAUUGGUAGACACAAGGGACUUAAAAUCCCUUGAGCUUUUAAGCUCGUGCCGGUUCAAGUCCGGCCCUCGGCA